CAGCAGCCACGGUAAUACGAAGGGGGCUAGCGUUGUUCAGAUUUACUGGGCGUAAAGCGCACGUAGGCGGACUUUUAAGUCAGGGGUGAAAUCCCGGGGCUCAACCCCGGAACUGCCUUUGAUACUGGGAGUCUUGAGUUCGAGAGAGGUGAGUGGAAUUGCGAGUGUAGAGGUGAAAUUCGUAGAUAUUCGCAGGAACACCAGUGGCGAAGGCGGCUCACUGGCUCGAUACUGACGCUGAGGUGCGAAAGCGUGGGGAGCAAACAGGAUUAGAUACCCCCGUAGUCCCUGUCUCUUAUAC
rnacentral:rRNA from 1 species